rnacentral:rRNA from 1 species
CUCUUAGAUGUUCUGGGCUGCACACGUGCUACACUGGCAGGUUCAGCGAGCUUCAUGCCCUGAUCUGAAAGGAAUGGGAAAUCUUUUCAAAACCUGCCGUGCUUGGGAUAGAUGUUUGCAAUUAUUCAUCUUCAACGAGGAUUGCCUUGUAAGCGCACGUCAUCAGCGUGCAUUGAAUACGACCCUGUAUUCUGUACACACCGCCCGUCGCUCCUACCGAUUGAAGUUUUCGGUGAGUUGACAGGAGGAUUUUUUUGAAACUGGUUCGCCAGUGGAUUUUAGAUCCAAAUGCCAACGAAUCGAUGGCUUUAGAGGAAGGAGAAGUCGUAACA